CGGGAAUGUGUUUUGGACAUGUUGUUUCAAUAUGAGACAAUCAGCUGGGCCCUCUGCGGAAUGUCCCCGGAGACUGGAAACGACCUCCCAACAGGGUCAUUUGUUCAGCAGAAUUCUAAGUCGCAUUCUCCAACAUCUGCAUUCUAUUAAUACCUCCAGAAUAUUUCCAUCAGCUUUGGGAAAUCAGAAGAGAUGUUCAGCUCCAAAUCCUGGAGUCUUUUGAACACUGCUUUGUGACUCUUGCGUUCUGUGGGCGGAUCCUUGCUCCUGACCUCCUUCCCUUUAGUUUGCUGGGUGCAGGUGGAUGGUCACAUUUCUCAGUAAAACCUGAGGAAGAAGUUGAAGCCUCCUCGGUGUUCAAACCUUCUGGAGAUCUGAAAGGCACAGAGCCAGAGAGGACCAGGCCUUAGACAACUUGGUGGCAGUGGCUAUUAUCCGAACCUGUGUCAUGGCAGAUGCUGAAAGAGAGGAGCCAAAAAACAUCUAUUCAAUAGUUACCUUCAAAGAAUGGAAAAGUAAGCGUCUGCUACCAAUAACCACUAGAAACAUAAUUUUACCCAACAUGUACUUCAUUGCUUAUGACUCUAAUACACAGGGUCAGCUAGAUGAAUGAUAAGUCUUAGUAAAAAUUAUGGAGCAACUUUCUUGGAAAUUUAGAGAAAUGCCAGAGUGUGAUAAGGUCUCUGAUAGUGACAAAUGGCUUCCUGGUUGUAUGACUCAGAAAGAGCUCCUCUUUGCUGGCUGGAGCUGGCUGAGGAGGCAGGCUGAAAACCCUCACUGUGCAGGAGGGAGCAGCUACCUAACAGGGCUGAUGGUGUUUCCUGUGCUGUCUGUCUGUCCAGGGGAGAGUUCUGACAGUCCCACCUGGCUUCCUCUUCCAGGGCCUCCUGCUCCGCUUAACCCUUUAGCCAGGAGGGUCCCCUGCUUCCUGUCCGCGUUCCCACAGCUGCUGAGGGCCACAGCUCCCGCCUGUGCACAGAGGGUCCUUGCUGUGUGUACGAGAUGGUGGCUCCCUGCGCCAUGUGGCAGAUGUUCAGCAUCAGGAAUCAAAACAGCUUUCACACCACGCAGCACAUUCUUCUUCCAGUCCCGUUCAUUUCCUCUCGGUGAAACUGAGAAGUGGACAGAGGAGGCCAGAGACCGCAUGGAGCUUCCUGAGUCUUGACAUUCCAAGAAUACCCUCAACUGGUCCUCUCCUUUUUUCGAAAAACGUGACAAGCCUGUAAGACUAAGGGAAAGAGUAAAGCAGUUUCUGUUCAUUGUACGCUGGACAAAUUCCGAGUGGAUUCUGCAAUACUGAAUUAGCAUAGAGGACUUUCUGGAGGGAGAGAAGUGGACACUGUUCUUGACAGCUAUACUCAAUAUAUACUCACUACUUGGAAAAAACCAGGAAAGCAAAUGCACACUGGCAGCUUCUCACUAUGGACCAAUCAAAUGUUUCCCAUUUGAGUCUCGCAGUACUGUGAAAAGUUCCCUUUGGAUGUCUUCCUGCCAGAGGAUGGUUUGACUCCCUCCGCCAGUGCAGGCAAGAGGAGAGGAAGGAGCUACAGACAUUCAGUGGGCUCACAUCUUGGGCACUUGUUCUGAUCCAUGCUCCAGCCAUAAUGUGACUCCUUCACCAGAGGCCCAAACAAACAGGGCUGUCUGAUCUUGCACUUAAGCUUCUGGAGCCAUCAGCAAAAAUCAACCUCUCAUUACUUCAUAAGUGGCAUGCAUCAGGCCUCAUCUUCAUCCUGUGUGCAGAUUGCAUUCUGACCUUCUCCCCGUAGAUGAAGGAAGAUGUGCCUUGAAGACCAUGUAGAUGGCACCUUCUGGCAGCCUUGUCAGAAGAGGAGCUUCUGUGAUUUGACAGCCCUGGUGCCCAGAGACUUGCUCUCUGAGCUAAAUGGCUUAGUAACAUUCCAGGAAUGACUUCCUGUCCGCUUCAUGUAGGAACUUUCCCCUUUUGCAUUUGAGAGUAUUUGUCCAGAACCAGAAGCUUUACAAGCCCUUUGUAUUUCAGCAAUGCAAAUAGCUGAGAGAAAGACCACAGCUGAGCAGCAGCAAAUUAAGACUUCUGGACACAGUGGAAUGAAUAGCCAGGUUCUUUUUUUUUUUUUUUUUAUCAUUUCCCAAGUUGAGGAAUGAAUGAAAGAUAAAUAAAUAGUGCUGCAAAUAGUAAAAACCAAAUUAGAUUUGAGGUUUCUCCCUCUUCCAAUCAAAUAAUAAGUAAUCCAAACAGUUAUUAUUUGAGGGAGCAAGGAAGUGAUACUAUAAAAAUAAAUGGCUUUCUCUGC
ensembl:lncRNA